GCCAGGCACGGUGGUGCAUGCCUGUCAUCCUAGCAGCUCAGGAGGCUGAGGCAGGAGGAUCUCAAGUUCAAGGCCAGCCUCAGCAAAAGGGAGGCUGCUAAGCGACUCAGGGAGACCCUGUCUCUA
rnacentral:sRNA from 1 species